GCCGCAUUAGCUCAGUUGGUAGAGCACAUCAUUCGUAAUGAUGGGGUCGCUGGUUCGGAUCCGGCAUGCGGCACCA
rnacentral:tRNA from 1 species